GACGAACGCUGGCGGCGUGCUUAACACAUGCAAGUCGAACGGAGUGGCGAACGGGUGAGUAACACGUGGGUGAUCUGCCUUGCACUUCGGGAUAAGCUUGGGAAACUGGGUCUAAUACCGGAUAGUGCAAGAUGAGCUCGCGGCCUAUCAGCUUGGUGGUGGGGUAAUGGCCUACCAAGGCGUCGACUGGUAGCCGGCCUGAGAGGGUGUACGGCCACAUUGGUCCUGAGAUACGGCCCAGACUCCUACCGGAGGCAGUAGUGGGGAAUAUUGAACAAUUGGCGGAAGCCUGAGGCAGAGACUCCGCGUGGGGGAUGAAGUCCUUCGGGUUGUAAACUCCGUUCGACAGGGACGCGGUACCUGUAUAAGAAGCACCGGCUAACUACGUGCCAGCAGCCGCGGUAAUUC
rnacentral:rRNA from 1 species